rnacentral:rRNA from 1 species
UACGUAGGGUCCGAGCGUUUGUCCGGAAUUACUGGGCGUAAAGAGCUCGUAGGUGGUUUGUCGCGUUGUUCGUGAAAACUCACAACUCAAUUGUGGGCGUGCGGGCGAUACGGGGCAGACUGGAGUACUGCAGGGGAGACUGGAAUUCCUGGUGUAGCGGUGGAAUGCGCAGAUAUCAGGAGGAACACCGAUGGCGAAGGCAGGUCUCUGGGCCGAUACUGACGUGAGGAGCGAAAGCGUGGGGAGCGAACAGG